rnacentral:rRNA from 1 species
GACGAACGCUGGCGGCGUGCCUAAUACAUGCAAGUCGAACGCUUUUUCUUUCACCGGAGCUUGCUCCACCGAAAGAAAAAGAGUGGCGAACGGGUGAGUAACACGUGGGUAACCUGCCCAUCAGAAGGGGAUAACACUUGGAAACAGGUGCUAAUACCGUAUAACACUAUUUUCCGCAUGGAAGAAAGUUGAAAGGCGCUUUUGCGUCACUGAUGGAUGGACCCGCGGUGCAUUAGCUAGUUGGUGAGGUAACGGCUCACCAAGGCAACGAUGAAUAGCCGACCUGAGAGGGUGAUCGGCCCCACUGGGACUGAGACACGGCCCAGACUCCUACGGGAGGCAGCAGUAGGGAAUCUUCGGCAAUGGACGAAAGUCUGACCGAGCAACGCCGCGUGAGUGAAGAAGGUUUUCGGAUCGUAAAACUCUGUUGUUAGAGAAGAACAAGGAUGAGAGUAAAAUGUUCAUCCCUUGACGGUAUCUAACCAGAAAGCCACGGCUAACUACGUGCCAGCAGCCGCCGUAA